CAGUAGCCGCGGUAAUACAGAGGGUGCGAGCGUUAAUCGGAUUUACUGGGCGUAAAGCGUGCGUAGGCGGCUUCUUAAGUCGGAUGUGAAAUCCCUGAGCUUAACUUAGGAAUUGCAUUCGAUACUGGGAAGCUAGAGUAUGGGAGAGGAUGGUAGAAUUCCAGGUGUAGCGGUGAAAUGCGUAGAGAUCUGGAGGAAUACCGAUGGCGAAGGCAGCCAUCUGGCCUAAUACUGACGCUGAGGUACGAAAGCAUGGGGAGCAAACAGGAUUAGAUACCCGUGUAGUCCCUGUCUCUUAUAA
rnacentral:rRNA from 1 species